rnacentral:lncRNA from 1 species
UCCCUCCCUCCCUCUUUUCCUUCCUUUCUUUUGAAAAAGUAGUAUGGUAAAAGUAAUUCACCCUUGUUUUGUUUUUUUUUUUUAAGUCAUCUCUACACCUAACAUGGGGCUCAAACUCACAAUCCUGAGAUCAAGACGCACAUGUUCUACCAACUGAGCCAGCCAGGCACCCCGAAGGUUCUGUCUUGUCACGUGCGCUGCACGUGUGGUUUCUGACUCCCUGGGCUGCAAGAGCCACCAGGCUGCAUGGCUAGAGCCGGCGCUGUGACUUACUGUGACGGGCACCUGGAAGGGCUCACGGCGUGUUUGCGAAGGAAGAAAAGGGGAACAGGAAGGACGGAAGGAAAGGACAGGAGCCAGAGAAGACAGCCUAGAUGUAAGUCUGUGAACUGAGCCGUUUAUUCAUCAUCAGCCCAUAACUAUUUACUGAGCGCUCACUGUGUGGCAGCACUCAGUGAGUCUGGCCACGGGGAUGCUGAGAUUAAUAAGCUCAGCCUUUGUUCUCGCGAAGCGUGUUGUCUAGAGAGAGAGGUCAGUAUCUAAACCAGCAUAAUAAAACCAAUGGCUCCAGGCUGCU